AAGUCGUAACAAGGUAACCGUAGGUGAACCUGCGGUUGGAUCAUUACUGAAAAGGCGAUCGUUCGUUCCUACGUUCGUUCCCACCCUUUGUGAACCGUGAUUGUCCCUGGCGGCGGGGUGCGAGUGGACUCGGGCGCAGAGAGGUGCUGUACCUCUCGGCGCGUGGCGUCCCCGUACCUGCCAGCUUGUCGGGUCCGUCGUCCCCCCGCGGGGCGUGGGCCCGCUUGCCGUGGGCAAACCGCCAAAUGUGCCCUGAACUUGCCAUCUCAACUUUGCCGCCUCAAUGUACACGUGGUAUAGCAAUACCUUAACAACUUUUGGCAACGGAUCUCUUGGCUCUC
rnacentral:misc_RNA from 1 species